AAACUUUCAACAACGGAUCUCUUGGUUCUGGCAUCGAUGAAAAACGCAGCGAAAUGCGAUAAGUAAUGUGAAUUGCAGAAUUCAGUGAAUCAUCGAAUCUUUGAACGCACAUUGCGCCCGCCAGCAUUCUGGCGGGCAUGCCUGUUCGAGCGUCAUUU
rnacentral:rRNA from 1 species